CUCUUAUCAAGAGCAGGUGGAGGGACUAGCCCGAUGAAGCCCGGCAACCGGUUAUCCUAAGGAUUUACACGGUGCUAAAUCUUGCAGCGCAUGCUGGGAGAUGAGAG
rnacentral:ncRNA from 2 species